GCUUUUCCUGUGCGGCGAUUCUGAAUUGUCUUUUAGGUUUUUUUUUCAGGGGUGCAGAAUCGGAGUAUCGGCUGAUUUACGUUUCUUUUUUUUUCUCGGAAAUCCUGGUUUACCCUCUAGGCCAUGGAGAAAGCAAGCCUGAAGCAUUUGGAGUUUCAGCUGCAGCGAGAGAAAGCGUUAACCAAAGAUCUGGACGCAAGAUGCAAAUUACUGUCGGCACAGGUUGCUCAGCUGGAGCAAGAUAAAGCCGAGCUUCGGCGCGAAAAGCUGUUUCUGGGCGAGGAGGCAAAAAAGACCUCAAAGCUAGAUGAUCGCGUUCACAUCCUUCAGAAAGAAGUGGAGAAUCGCGACGCAGUCAUCGCAGCCGAGCGGGCGCUGACGCAGGCUGCGAGGGCGGAGGCAGAAGAAAUUCGGCGCAACGCAAAUGCUUCUAUCGCUCUAUGGACCGCGGCUGAAGAGCAGUGGACAGUGGAGCAGACUGCAUUAAACGAGGCUGCUGCCCAGUGCCGUUCGCAGAUCGAUGAUUUGAAGAAGGAAGUUCAAGUUCAAGGGGACGCACGCGCCGAACUGGCGAAGCAGCUGCAUACAGAAAAGGAGCGCUCGAACAGGCUGACGCAAGCGCGAGAGGCCAUGGAGGUAGAGGUCAAGAGUCUGCACUCUCAGGUGGAGAAAUUGCAGAAUAAGGUUUGUGAUCUCGAGCAAACGGUUUUCAAGCUAGAUCUUGCCGGGGAUAAGCAACGCGAGGUGAUUAACCUGAAAGACACAGAGAUCAAAACUCUGGAGGCCACUAUUGCGCGGCAUAUAGAAGCAGAAGAGCGACUAGAGCAAACGAUCAGCUCCCUUAAUGAUCGCAUCAACGCGGCAAAGAUGAUGAACCUGGAGGGCAAAUGUGAGAACGAAAAGCUGCAGUGUGACCUUGUAGACGCCAAAAAGGAGGUCGAGCGUCUCCAUCUUCAGGCGGAGUCGCUGAAGCGUGACUCUAACUUUCUUUCACAGAGCCAUUCUAGCGUGCAAAAGGCCCUGGAGGAUUUGAAGGAGAAGCAUCGGCAGCUCCAGGAGGACAUGAGAGACAAAAAUGUCGAAAUUCGCCGGCAUGAACUCACGAUCAGUCAGUUGAAUAUGGAGCUCAAAAAGAGUGAAAAUCAGGGGGGCGAAUGGUCAUUUCAGUACUCGACACUGGAGACUGAGCUCCAGCAGACGAAGGAGGCGUUGAGGAAAUCAUCGGCGUCUGUCGAGACACUCCUGCGCGAAAACAGUGAGCUUGUGGAGCGGUUGAAGGAGCAGAGGCAGCUCACGGAGACAAAGGAGGAGGAGAUGGUUGUGUUGCAGAGCCAAUGCGACGAGCGAGCCGAGGCCUUCUCGCGAGAUAUUAGAGACCUGGAAAAGGAGAUCACAGCACGCCAGGCUGUGAUUAAUGAGUUGUCCGACCAACUCAAUUCCGCAAGCGAGAAAAACGCGGUGUAUCAUUCCAAAAUUCUCGAGGAAUCAGAAGCAAACGGGAAAAUGCGGCAGCAUCGUGCUGAAAUGCUGCAGCGGCUGGAGUCAAACGAACAUCACAUUUUUUUUCUGGACUGCGUUGUCGAGAAGGAAAAGAUUUUUUCCUCCUUUUUAGCAUAUUGGAACGAGGCCCCAAUGUUGUUGUGUGCGAAUCUUGUGGGGCACUGCCAGAUGCUGCAAGGGAAGACAUGUGUGCUACUUGAGCAUGAAGAAGAGCUUUCUCGCGAGAGCUGCUUAAAGACGUCGCAGCUGAAGGAGCUGCAGUGUCAGAAUGAAGAUCAGAGGGAGCAAAUCGCAUUUUUGCAACGGGAGAGAAACACGCAAGCUGAACGUCUUUCGGUACUUUCGCGGGAAAGUCUCGCUUCUGAAAAGGAAGCUAAAGAACUUCGAGGCGCCUUGGAGGCUUCACGGAACGAGAAUCUUUCCCUCACAUCAGCGGUGGCUGCUCUCCAUGAGCAAGUUGUUGCAAAGGAUGCUGAGCUUGUGCGAAAGAACGCCGCGCUAACAGACUCUCAAUCCCUUGUUUACGCUUUCUCGGAUGCCGUGUCUACCUUGGAGGGGGCUAUUCUUCGUUACGCUAUGGCGCAGAUGGAGGAAGUGCAGGACCUUUGGAAGAACCGCCUAGAAGCGGUAGGGCUGCAUUUCACUUCUCUUGUGUCGCACUUGGUUGCCGAAAAGGCGUUGCUGCAGUGCUCGAAGGAGCAGGCAGAAGCCUCGUGCCGCGAAUUGUCUGCGUUUGCGAAAGAAGCGAAAAUUUCGAUGAACAAAAGCGACCUUGCUGCUGCAGAGCGACAGGAAGCGCUGACGAGUCGCGCGGCUCUCCUGGAAGGGCAAAUUGCCGUGGCACGCCGAGAAAAAGAUCAGGCAGCCAUGCAACUGGCGUCUUUGCUGCGACGAUUUGAGGCGGACAGGAACUCUUUUGAGUCGUUCAAGAGAGAAGCAAAAUGCACAAUGGAGGAAGAGCGAGAGCGGCGUGAGGCAGUGGAGAAGGAGUGCGUGAAGCUGCGUGGCUGUAUUGAUGCCGAGGUGAAGCGGAAGUGUGAGUACAAACAGGCUCUAGAGAAUCUGAAAAAGCUGCGUAGCGAGAGUGAGGAGCUGCGUCGUGCUGAAAAAGCGCGUGCUGCAGAGGCGAUAGGGAAAGCUAACAUCGAAUGUAACUAUUGGGUAAAGUGCUUCGAUCAUCUCAAGGAGAUGAUUGAGAAGAGUCAUCGCACAGGUGAUCGUUUGCCGUCUAUCGACACAGAUACGAUUCACCGCUUGGAGGUUGCGAAAACCAAGAUCAGCCCUAUGCAGGCGCGCGAGGUGAACAAAGCGCUUUCGAGCCUUCCAAAAUUGAAACGCGUACGAGAAGAGGCCUCUGGCGCCCCUACGUAGAGGGAUCGUUACCAACUCCCUUUUUUCAUCUGUUUCCUGCUUUUCUCAUGGGCGCGGGCGACUGGACUGUAUACUGCUUUUUUAUCUGCCUCAUGCUCUGCAUUUUUCUUUAGAAUUUGAUUCUCGAUGUUCUACUUUUUACUUAGAUGCUAUUUUUCCUUUUCUAGAUUUGUGCCCACGUCAUAUGAAGAGAAAC
rnacentral:misc_RNA from 1 species